GCCCACUCUGAUGGUGUGAGGGUGCCCCUCCCAACCCCACCAUGUGAAAAUAACUCAGCAAAAAACAGAGCAGCUGCCUCGUCAUCUUCCCCAUCACUAGGAUUUCUUCAGGUGACCAAUAGAGCUGCAAGUAAAGAAUGGAAAUUUCCAAUUGCAGCAUCAAGGGCUGCUGUUCUGCUGACUGUCUUGCUCAGCCAGGGUCAUCUGCUUCUCUAAGACAUCAAGGAAUGCCAAGGCAGGCAUGCAUCAAUGGUUGAGGAAUGACUCUGGCACUCAUCUGCCACAUGGCUGCUGUUUGCAUGCUUCACCUGUAGCAAGCAGGAUUACAGAGUAGAUCCAUCUAUGCUGGCCUACUCCAAUGGACAUUUAGCAUAUCAGCACUUCGAAGAAGACAACACAGGAGUAUCCAGUGCUGGUAAACCUGGAUAACCAUGUGCAUUAUUUUAAAGGAUUGCUGUCAGUCACUCACUGAGGGCUUUGGAAGUCCUCCUGGAGCCCCCCAGGCUUUCCUCCCUGUCAAGAAUUAACCAUGGACUCCUCCAGGAAAGCACUGACUGCUUGGCAGGAAGACCUGAGAAACAUUCAGUUGACCAGCAUUUGUGGGCACGUCCAAGUGCAUGUUCCGACAACAACUGGCUGUUUCCGCCGGCUGGCACAGUAGCUGAAUGGGGAAUACUAUUGAGGAAACUCUGCCGAAGAACGAUGAAUGCAGGCCAGUGAAUUUUCUGACACAGUCCCAGCUUUAUUUUUGCUUAUUGCUGGCAAGCUAAUACGAGGGACAUUAAAAAACAAGUGACAAAAACUUUAUAAAUAAGGUUUAAAGGACAAGAAGUCUCCUUAGCCCCCCGAAAUAUAAACAUUUUGUACCAACAAGGAUC